rnacentral:misc_RNA from 1 species
GAAAUGCGAUAAUUAAUGUGAAUUGCAGAAUUCAGUGAAUCAUCGAGUCUUUGAACGCACAUUGCGCCCCCUGGUAUUCCGGGGGGCAUGCCUGUCCGAGCGUCAUUGCUGCCCUCAAGCACGGCUUGUGUGUUGGGCUUCCGUCCCUGGCAACGGGGACGGGCCCAAAAGGCAGUGGCGGCACCAUGUCUGGUCCUCGAGCGUAUGGGGCUUUGUCACCCGCUCCCGUAGGUCCAGCUGGCAGCUAGCCUCGCAACCAAUCUUUUUAACCAGGUUGACCUCGGAUCAGGUAGGGAUACCCGCUGAAUUUAAGC